rnacentral:rRNA from 1 species
AGUGAACGCUGGCGGUAGGCCUAACACAUGCAAGUCGAACGGCAGCACAGUAAGAGCUUGCUCUUACGGGUGGCGGGUGGCGGACGGGUGAGGAAUACAUCGGAAUCUACUUUUUCGUGGGGGAUAACGUAGGGAAACUUACGCUAAUACCGCAUACGACCUACGGGUGAAAGCAGGGGAUCUUCGGACCUUGCGCGAUUGAAUGAGCCGAUGUCGGAUUAGCUAGUUGGCGGGGUAAAGGCCCACCAAGGCGACGAUCCGUAGCUGGUCUGAGAGGAUGAUCAGCCACACUGGAACUGAGACACGGUCCAGACUCCUACGGGAGGCAGCAGUGGGGAAUAUUGGACAAAGGGCGCAAGCCUGAUCCAGCCAUACCGCGUGGGUGAAGAAGGCCUUCGGGUUGUAAAGCCCUUUUGUCGGGAAAGAAAAGCAGCAGGUUAAUACCCCGCUGUUCUGACGGUACCCAAAGAAUAAGCACCGGCUAACUUCGUG